UACGUAGGGGGCAAGCGUUGUCCGGAUUUAUUGGGCGUAAAGAGCGUGUAGGCGGCCAGGUAGGUCCGUUGUGAAAACUCCAGGCUCAACCUGGAGACGCCACCUGAUACUGCUGUGGCUAGAGUCCGGUAGGGGAGCAUGGAAUUCCUGGUGUAGCGGUGAAAUGCGCAGAUAUCAGGAGGAACACCAGUGGCGAAGGCGGUGCUCUGGGCCGGAACUGACGCUGAGGAGCGAAAGCGUGGGGAGCAAACAGG
rnacentral:rRNA from 1 species